rnacentral:rRNA from 1 species
GUAGGUGGCAAGCGUUGUCCGGAAUUAUUGGGGCGUAAAGCGCGCGCAGGCGGCUCUUUAAGUCUGAUGUGAAAGCCCACGGGCUCAACCGUGGGGGGUCAUUGGAAACUGGAGAACUUGAGUACAGAAGAGGAAAGCGGAAUUCCACGUGUAGCGGUGAAAUGCGUAGAGAUGUGGAGGAACACCAGUGGCGAAGGCGGCUUUCUGGUCUGUAACUGACGCUGAGGCGCGAAAGCGUGGGGAGCAAACAGGAUUAGAUACCCUGGUAGUCCACGCCGUAAACGAUGAGUGCUAAGUGUUAGGGGGUUUCCGCCCCUUAGUGCUGCAGCUAACGCAUUAAGCACUCCGCCUGGGGAGUACGGCCGCAAAGGCUG